CCUACGGGUGGCAGUAGUGAGGAAUAUUGGUCAAUGGCCGGAAGGCUGAACCAGCCAAGCCGCGUGAAGGACGAAGGUGCCAAGCAUUGUAAACUUCUUUUGUCAAGGGACAAAAUCAGGCUCGAGAGCCUGACCGAGGGUACUUGAAGAAAAAGCAUCGGCUAACUCCGUGCCAGCAGCCGCGGUAAUACGGAGGAUGCGAGCGUUAUCCGGAUUUAUUGGGUUUAAAGGGUGCGUAGGCGGCAAAAUAAGUCUGAAGUAAAAGGCGUUGGCUCAACCAACGUAAGCUUUGGAAACUGUUAAGCUAGCGUGCAGGAGAGGUUAGUGGAAUUCCAUGUGUAGCGGUAAAAUGCGUAGAUAUAUGGAGGAACACCAGUGGCGAAGGCGGCUAACUGGCCUGUAACGGACGCUGAGGCACGAAAGCGUGGGGAGCAAAUAGGAUUAGAUACCCGGGGUAGUC
rnacentral:rRNA from 1 species